CUGGUUCCUAUGGUAACUCUAUUUUUAGUUUCUUAAGGAACCUGUAUACCGUUCUCCGUAGUGGCUUCAGAGAGAAUUCUGAUUUAACUUUUUAAAAAUGCAGUCAACAAAGUAUUUAUUUCAUGGCCAAUAUGUUUCAGACAUUGGGGGUCUUCUGAUAUUCAUUACAAUGGAUAUGUCAUCAGUUAACAGGUCAAGAGCAGUCACUGAGCGCCUUCUGUGAACUUGGCACUGUGACAUCACCAUGUUACCUCAACUGCAGGACUUGAGAAGAUUUUGGGGGCAGGGGUAUUCUACAGGCUGGUUGUUUGAAACCAAUCCAUCAAUGACCAUAUCUGGAAAAAUUCCCUUAUCUUUGAAAUUGCCUGGAAAUGAGGCCAUACAAUGGAAUCAGCUUGGGAUAAAGUUUUUUUCUCAAAUAAAGAAAGUUUCUGGUGUCUUGGCGUUUGUUUUAAGGUGCUUUAAGUCCUUUAAGGAAGUAUACAACAAAGCAAAAAAUAGAU